CUUUCUUUCUUUCUUUCUUUCUUUCUUCCUUUCUUUCUUUCUUUCUUUCCUUUUUGUCAAGAAUGUUUUCAAUAAUCAAGAAUGAAAGUUGGAGGUUCGAAGUCAAUCAGAUACCAACCAUAAACGAUGCCGACUGUCGAUUUGAUGGUGUUAUUCCCAUGAUCCGUCGGGCAGCUUUUGAGAAACCAAAGUCUUUGGGU
rnacentral:ncRNA from 1 species